UUCCUCCUAUCUUGGCACUAUUGCAUUAUUUUAAGUUUGCAAUUGAGUGUAUGCUAAUUGGAGGUAAAUCAUUUCGAGUUAAUCCUUCGGUGUCUUUUCCGAUUUAAUGGAUGAGAUCCUAUCCUCUAGACUCGAAACAGUU
rnacentral:snoRNA from 1 species